AGACCAGUGAAAAUAGUUCAUCCACAGCUGAGGUGAAAUCCUAAGCACAAAUCGAGGAUUGAGAACUAUUGUUGCUAGCUUGAUGGGGUGUAUUUGGCAACUUUCAUGUCUAUUACAUGUGCAUGAUUUGACCAGUGCCCAUCUUCCAUAGUUUGGCCAGUGUCGAGGAUGCAUGUAGCCGAGACCGAGGUGGAGACCCACAACAGCAAUUGUAUAUAAAUUGCAUUGCAAUUCAAAAAAAUUAGUUGAGAAUUAUCCCAUUCCAAGUUUUUCAGCACCAG
rnacentral:lncRNA from 1 species